UACGUAGGGUCCAAGCGUUAUCCGGAAUCACUGGGCGUAAAGCGUUCGUAGGUGGUCUGUUAAGUGAGAUGUGAAAGCGUGUGGCUCAACCAUAUCGUUGUGUUUCAUACUGGCAGACUAGAGGGAAGCAGAGGCAAGUGGAAUUGGCAGUGUAGCAGUGAAAUGCGUAGAGAUUGCCAGGAACACCAAUGGCGAAGGCAGCUUGCUGGGCUUUUUCUGACACUGAGGGACGAAAGCGUGGGGAGCGAACAGG
rnacentral:rRNA from 1 species